CAGUCGCCACGGGAAUACGUAGGUGGCGAGCGUUGCCCGGAAUUAUUGGGCGUAAAGGGAGCGCAGGCGGACAUAUAAGUCCAUCUUAAAAGUGCGGGGCUCAACCCCGUGAGGGGAUGGAAACUGUAUGCCUUGAGUGCAGGAGAGGAAAGCGGAAUUCCCAGUGUAGCGGUGAAAUGCGUAGAUAUUGGGAGGAACACCAGUGGCGAAGGCGGCUUUCUGGACUGCAACUGACGCUGAGGCUCGAAAGCCAGGGGAGCGAACGGGAUUAGAUACCCCAGUAGUCCCUGUCUCUUAUACA
rnacentral:rRNA from 1 species